rnacentral:lncRNA from 1 species
UUUGCGGAGAGAAGCCCAUGGGGGAGCCAAGUCUGAUGCGGAAGAGUCAUUUACGGUUCUGAAGGAGCGGAGCAGUCGGUGUUCUUCGUGAUCAUUCGUGGCGAAACCAGCUCUGCAACAUCAAAGAAGAUCGAUUUGGGUUUGACUCUCUAAAGCUCUGCAGUUUGUUCCUCAGUUGGCGAUCAAUCUGUCUGAAAAUCUGGUCCACGGAGCGGAAGGAGUUGUUGUGAAGUCGUGUGUUCCGCUCAUUCCAAAGCCAAUAGACCGUGGAGUGCCAUGCGAGAAGGGAGAGAAGUCUCUGCGUGAGCGGUUGCGGUAGGGAAAUCAUCUGAUCCAGCGUGACCUCCCAGUCCCUGUUCGGUAAGAGGUCAAGUCUUCGCGCCACAAUCACCCACAGAUCAUAACUGAAAUCACAAGAGAAGAAGAGAUGGUUUCUUGUCUCUUGGUUCCUAUUACAAAGCAGACAGUUAGGGUGCACUUGUAGUCCCCAAUUGAUGAGUCUAUCCCGGGUAGGGAAUCUGUUCUGUAUCACAAGCCACAUGUGGAAACUAUGUCGUGGAAUCGCCCUAGAGAACCAGACUGAAUUAUACCAAGAGACAUUCGGCCGCUGUUCCAUUAGGUAAUUAUAAAUGAUUCCCGUUUGGAACUUCGUGUAUGUUUUACCAUUUACCUCCCACUCAUAGUAGUCUUCUUGAUUGGCUUGUAGUUGAAUGGUAGUGAGGAACGCGUAGAGCUGAAGCUGCGCGUCAGUUCGAGCCGGAGGGAGGUUCCAGGAGCCAUUAGAACAUAGGGAAGAUACAGUUGCAUGAAGAGGUAUCCCCAAUCUUGAGUUGCUGCCCGAUAGAUGAGUUGAAAGGGCUCCAUAGGGAGUCCAGUUAUCUGACCAGAACCGAGCCGUUUCACCAUUUUGGAGGCGGAGCUUGAUAAGAGGAAAUACCUCAUUCCUCAUUUUGAGCAGUUUGUUGACAAGCCAAGAGUAGGAUUGCUUUGGCGACGUUGUCCAAUAGUUUUGCAGAGAACCUUUGAGGAUCACCUCCUUGAACCAUUGCACCCAGACAGAGUCCGGCCUGAAGAACAGUAACCAUAGCAGUCGAAACGUGCAGGCUUUAUUCCAGGUACGUAAAUCUUUGACACCUAAACCUCCUUCUCUUUUUGUUAAGACCACUGUUUCCCAUGAAACACGAGCUGAGAGGAUAUUUUUUUACCACACAAAAAAAGUCAAGAGAGGAUACAGACAGGAAAACACACCCUUCUAUAUUCAUUUCAAGUUUCAGAUAUUGCUUACAAGUCGAUGAUCGUAAUUCGUAAUCAAAUUAUUGCAUGUAUGAAGUAUGAUGUAUACAUUAUUCCUACGUUAAAAACAAAAUAAUUC